CUCCCACCCGUGUUUAUCGUACCUUGUUGCUUCGGCGGGCCCGCCGUCAUGGCCGCCGGGGGGCAGAAGACACCAUUGAACUCUGUCUGAAGAUUGCAGUCUGAGCGAUUAGCUAAAUCAGUUAAAAACCUCAACAACGGAUCUCUUGGUUGGCACAUCGAUGAAGAACGCAGCGAAAUGCGAUAAGUAAUGUGAAUUGCAGAAUUCAGUGAAUCAUCGAGUCUUUGAACGCACAUUGCGCCCCCUGGUAUUCCGGGGGGCAUGCCUGUCCGAGCGUCAUUGCUGUAAGCACGGCUUGUGUGUUGGCGCCCUCCGGGGGGCGGGCCCGAAAGGCAGCGGCGGCACCGCGUCCGGUCCUCGAGCGUAUGGGGCUUCGUCACCCGCUCUGUAGGCCCGGCCGGCGCCCGCCGGCGACCCCAAUCAAUCUUUCCAGGUUGACCUCGGAUCAGGUAGGGAUACCCGCUGAACUUAAGCAUAUCAAUAAACGGAGGUACAGAGUGAGGGGCCCUCUGGGGUCAACCUCCCACCCGGUUUAUCGUACCUUGUGCUUCGGCGGGCCGCCGUCAUGGGCCGCCGGGGGGAAUCGCCCCGGCGCCCCGAAGAACAUUUGAAAUUUAUGUGUAAAUGUGUUCUGACUGAUGUAUAUGAAUAGUUUAUAUAUUUUCUCACACGAUUCUUGGUUUCUGCCAUGAUGAAGAAGCAGCGAACUGCGAUAAUAAUGUGAUUUGCAGAUCUGCUGAAUCAUAGUAUCUAUGACAAUCUAGCACCCAUGUCAUACGGGCGGGAUACAGACAAGCGCCAUACUACAUGCACGAGUGAUGAUGAGCAGGCGCCCCACGCCCCGGUCACG
rnacentral:rRNA from 1 species